rnacentral:rRNA from 1 species
CCUGAACCCAUUCCGAACUCAGAAGUGAAACGAAAUAGCGUCGAUGGUAGUGUGGGGUUUCCCCAUGUGAGAGUAGAACAUCGCCAGGC